AUGAGCGCGGGCAGACUCCGGCGCCUCUCCGCGCGCUCGCGGAGAGGAGCGGCAGUGACGGAUGGGAAGUGCCACACACCUCGCGCCUCCUUUUCGAUCACCCCCAGAGUGGACCCCCUGCGCCUCCCUCCCAGUAUCCUCAUCUGAACUGUGCAGCGCUCAGCCACUCUUCAUCAGCAGACAGGGGAGGGGGCAGGCCUGAGCCACAGCUGGACUGCAGCUGGGGAACAUCUGCAGCAGAGAGUGAGCUACCAGUCUGGCUGCGGCAGGGAGGGUUCCUGGCACCGUGAUUUGGUGCAAAAACAGAAACAAAAAUCACAUUGCCAGGGAUUUCCACUCUGUCACAGCUUUAUGGCCAUCCUCAUGUGUAUUCUUCCCACCAGUGUCCCCAUCAGUUAAUGGUUCAGUUGCCUCACCAUUAAGAAGUGGAGAAAAUGCACCUCCAGUGAAGAAUUAUUACCUUCUGUUCUGUAUGUUAGUGGGAGUGUCUAAGGGCUCAACUAAGUCACGUUGACGUAGUCACGUAGAGGUCGUUAAGUUACCUGCUUAUUUUAGGUUUUUUUGCGAACAAAAUCUGAAUCUGUUAUUUUGUAAAAUCUCAAACCAGGGUCAUACUUCAGCUGUUCAAAAAGUCUUUUAAAUUCUUAUCUUCUUGAGUCUACUGGUUGCUUCCUAGGGUGAAAAUUCCAUGAGUUGAAGACUCUCGAAGCUUACGCACCAUAUCAUGUUUUUGGGAAAUAUCGUUUAUCAUCUAGAGGAAUGCUGAAUGACCUGCGGGAAUAUUUUACUGGAACGCACCAUCUGAAACUGAUCAGCGAGGCAAAACUGACCCUGCAUUUGUUGGGCUUUCAGCUUCACAGAAUGAAUGGAGGUGGUUAAAAUGUCAGCAUAAGGGAACAGUAUGCAAAAGGCCUGCAAGAUGUCUGUGAUUUAGCAUUGAGGGAGGAAAAAAAAGGAAAUUUACUGAGCGCAUCUAAUUUUCAUGCAUGCUUGACUGGGAAACACCAUGAUCCACUGGACAACACACGUGUCACAGAGGAAACAUCAAGAGCUGUCGUGUACAUGGUUACCCCGACAGAGACAUUCCACCACACCAUGCACAGAGCAUCCUAUAGCCCAGUCGCUUUCAAAAGGCACAGAGCUUAGCUAAUUGUCGAGCAUUGAUCCCUUUAAUAUAUUGUUCACAGUGGCUAAGUUCAGUGCCUGAGGUGAAACAGUUAAUAGGAUGUAAAGAGCGUGUAUGGGAAUGCAGACCCCUCCCACUUGGAAGACGACGGAAAAGGAAAAUAAUGGUGAGGAAUGAAGACCACGUACUCUGGGUAUGGAGUCAGCAGUGCAGAGUAGCAGGUUGCCUAUAAAGCAACUGAGAGAAAAAAAAAGUGAGCUGUGGAAUGUUCUCAAAAUGUCAAGCCAGUCGAGGCACGCAGAGUUCCAGUUCACCUGGUUGAGUGCGUAGCUUUGACAAUGAACAGGGUCAGACUGAUUUAUGUGGCGAAGGCAGGGCUCAGUCUCUCCUCACUCUCAGCACUGAGAGGGGAGCCACGUACACUGGGCUUUCCCCUAAUGCUUCACUAGCGGGUCUCCGUUUUUUUUUUUUGUUCUAUUGUGUAUAUGUGUCUGUGUUUGUGUCUGUGUCUGUGUGUGUGUGGCCUUGUCUGUAUUUUUCUUCUACAAAGAGAGAGAGAAAGAGAGAGAGAGAGAGAGAGAGAGACUGAGAGAGAAGAUCGCAGACACAAGGAAGGGUUAAGGCGACCACCACAACUCAAUGUCUAUGAGUGAGACAUAUGAAGCCUGUCAUGCAAACAGAUGAGGCGCUACAGACAGACACAUCUAUAUUUCAUCUUAUACCACAUUUUAUCCCUAUGCGCUUUAUUCUGCCUGUCCAUUGAUACAUCAGCCCAUUAAUGAUCCACCAGUAUCAGUGCCCAAAUUCUCCCUCCAGUCGCUGAAUUAAUCUGCUCCCUGUAAUUACGGUACAACUGUGAUGGAAAAUUGUCUCAGGACAUAUGCAGUGUGUGAGAUGUUCAUGUCCUCAGUUCCAUCAGGCCCCUGGCUCAGCGCAGUGCAUUGUGGGACACGGGGGGCGAUGUUGCGGUCAGGGCUGUGACCUCCCGUGCCUACUGAACUGGUAUCAGUGUGUCUAUUGAAUACUGGCUCAGUUCAGCAGGAACAGGAGUGGAGCCCAAUAGGUGCCAUUACCUCAUCACCUUCAAAUCAGCACGCAGCAGACCUUAUGAUGUCAUUUUCUAAACUCGACCUCCUGAUCUCUAUUCAUGUUGUUCUUUUGGGGCGUUAUUUUCUUUGGAAAAUCGUAUGAAUUUGCAUGUUUAUUUGUCAGAUAUGGAAGGGCAGCAUUUGAUUUUAUCCCAGGCUAUAGUUUCUGGUUGUAUAUGUUCAUUCCAGCCAAGCCUAUUUCAGUACAUUCAACAGGCUACAUGCUGAUGCAGUCAAACCUCAAGUUUAUUUCAUCAUUGUACUGUCACUGUAUCUUUUCUGUUCUCAGUACCUGAACCAAGGACACAAAUAUAUACAAACUUGGCAUCGCAGCCUAAAAGUGACAGCUUAUGUGAAAUGCAUGAACUAUCUGCCCAUUGACGUCACCUAAGAUAUGAAUAUUUUCUAUGCGUUUUCAUGAUCCCCAUGAGAUAAUGUAAUGGAGAGUGAAUUAUGACAGUAAUAUUUCAUAUUGGGCCUUCUUUAUACUGCCUCAGCUGAACUUGAAAAUAUUAUUUAGCUUGUGCUUUAGUCACGAGUAAUGACUCAAUUAGCAAAUUAUGGGCAUGAUUAGUUUGUUGUUGUGAAUUCUGGACAUCUGUUCACUCUUAAAACAAUACACCAAAGCCAAAAGCAAAAGCGCAGUGCAAAGCAUGGCACAACAUAGCACAAAAUAUGCAAAGUACAAAUACCACGGAAAUCAAAUGAAUAUUAUUAUUGCAUUGGUCAGCUUCAGACAUACUUCACAUGCUGCCUGCCUUGUUUAUGCAGAGGGAUAAGUGCACUUUAUCGCAAGCGAUUCUCAUUUCUGUACAUCAGAAUUAUUGAUUGCAGAAGGCCUUUCUUUCAAUUGUAUAACUUUUUCAGUGAUAUCAUUUUUAACCUUGGAGAGAUUAUUGUAAAACCUGGUCAGCAAAUUUGAAUGUUCAACAGACGUCUGCCUCAAAAUCCAUUACAAACUGGAAACCUGUCUCUAGGGCUCUACUCUCUGUGAAAUGAAAACAAUUGAUUUUUGAAUUGACUCAUUUUUUGUUUCUCUUUUCCCUAAGAAGAGCAGCCCAAAUGGUUUGGAAAUUGCUGGUUGCUGAACAUUUUUGUUGUUCUGAAACUCACUGAUACUAUCGCUUGGGCUGCCUGUGAGAAUAGAUGACUGGUUCCUCAAACUGAGCCAGUGAAACAAAUAGAGUACAAGGGGAGGGUGGAGUCCCAUGUCACACUAUACAGCUUUUCUGUUCUUUCCAUGCCCUCCCCCCGCCCCCCCGCCCCCGCCCAGCCCCUAACAUGUAUGAAAUCCUCAAUUGCUUUAAUUCAAGAUUAUGUGUACCAUUAUGUGCAAAUGUCAUCCCAUAAUAGUCACAAUAAGCAGAUUGAUAAAUAUGUUAGCGCCAGACCUUCAUCUAGCCUUUUUUUUAGGGUUUCUAUGGCGAUGUCGAGUACCUGCUUUGUUCCUCUGAUGUAUUGCAGGGCUGACAUGUCUUGGCUGCCUUGUUUCACUCAGUUUUCCUUUGUUGCCAGUGGCUUAUAUUGAAUCAAUGUCCUCUUGGUCCAGGCCCUGGCUGCGUGCAGGUUUUAUAAUUGAUUUAAGCUGAGAAACACCAGCUGAGCAGCAAAGCAAACUUCUCUUCCAGUGACCUGUGGCGUGAGUAAUCGCCACCCCGUCAAGCUCCUUAGGGUCCUUCCAGGUCAUCGUCUAAAAUGCCUGCCCAAAAUCAUGUAUUACUGGCAAAUCAUCUGGGGAAAGAAUUCAUCAGAAUCACUGCAAAUUUUAACUAAUGUCCUGCUUAAAUAUCUGUCUCUGAAUUAAGCUUAAUAUUAUUUAAAAAUGGUUCUUCUGUCCUAUAACUGUAUUAUAAUGAAAAGCACAUUCAGUGCUUUUGGUUGAUCCUCCAUAUCUGCUUUAAGAUUUUUAAAUGAGAUACUGUACUUUGUCAUAAUUGUUGCAGCAUCAAUAGAUUUGCACAAAAAGUGCAAAUAAAUGUAUGGCUCAUUUUACUUUUAAAUAUAAUGAUAUAAAUAAGUUGAAAAUAAAAAAGAAUGUACAUGCAUGCAAGUCAUCUGUAUUAAGAUACACUGUACAUAAUUAAUACCCUAUGUACAUAAAUGUUGGCACCCACUGAUGUUCCUGUGAGAGAUUCAUGGCUGCUGUUGCUAGGUUACUGGUGAUGACAGCUUCAGUGACAUUUUUCCAUAAUCAUAGAUCACCAGUAGCAGCCCCAUAGCCCCACCCCCCCCCCAACCCCCCCACCCACCCCAGCCACUUUGACCUGGGCCCAGCUUUGAGCUGGAGUUCGGUGUCUGUCUGCAUGCACACCCCAGUACAAAUCAUCCUAAUGCUGAAAUGGAGCAAGAUGCAACACAAUUUAAUCUUCUGUCCAGGCCUCCAAGGUUGGAUUCUUUCAUCCAGGUGCAACUGUUUAAUGUCUGAAAAAAGAGUCUUGAAUGCAAAUAAAGCUUGCUCGUUGGGACCAC